CAGAAAUGCCCUGAAGAAGUGAGUCAGUAAAAUAUUUACCAAAACUUCUCUAAAUACCAACCAUCUCAUGGCAGACCUUACAUUUCCUGUGAAGGAGGAGCUCUGUGCUGUCCCCAUGGAAUGGGAAGGACUUGGAUGCUUCACUAAGACUUCUCCCUUCAUCCCUCAUGAGCAGGUCCUGUGUUAUGUGGAAGCGUGCAGCAAUCUGGUCUGGAUGAAGAAAAUACCUCAGAAAACCCAAGAGGA